rnacentral:rRNA from 1 species
UACGGGGGGUGCAAGCGUUAAUCGGGAUUACUGGGCGUAAAGGGUGCGUAGGUGGUUUGGUAAGUUAGCUGUGAAAUUCCUGGGCUCAACCUAGGGUGGUCAGCUAAGACUGCUAGACUCGAGUAUGGGAGAGGGUAGUGGAAUUUCCGGUGUAGCGGUGAAAUGCGUAGAGAUCGGAAGGAACACCAGUGGCGAAGGCGGCUACCUGGCCUAAUACUGACACUGAGGCACGCAAGCGUGGGGAGCAAACAGG